UGGGAACGGGCUCCGGGCUCCCCCUGCCGGGCAGGUGCUGCUGCUGCAGCGCAAAUCCCCAAUUCCCGGCUCACUUCCACACGCCCGGCCCGCAGAGAAAGGGAAACAGCUCCCACGGAGGGGAUCCCAAAGGGGAUCCGGCUGCCCCAUCCCUGGCCAGGCUGGACGGGGUUUGGAGCACCCUGGGAUGAUGGGACCUGCCCACUGGAUGGGCUUUAAGGUCUCUUCCCACCUGAACCAUUCCAUGAUUCUGUGAUCAUAAAAAAGGGUGUUUCUCAUCCAGCCAGAACUCCCAUCCAGGUGGGAAUGACUCCUGCGAUCCAGCCUGGCUGUUCCAUUGCUCCCAGAUUCAUCGCCCCCGCCUUCCUCCAGAGCCCACACACACCUAGAAUCGCUCUGGGAAGGUGGAACAGCUCCCAGGGACAGGAACUCAUCCCUUCACACCUGGACCAGCAAUGAAUCUGUCACCUUCCCCUCCCUGGGGUCGGGUGCCAGCAGUCUCUGUGUGCUUGUGCUGCCAGUCCCUCUGAAAUAUCCCUGGAUCCUUUCUGACUCCACUUCUUUAUCCUCUAAGGGCCAAAUCCUCCAGGAACACACCCAAAACAUCUUUAUCAGGGGACCAACCCUUUUCCCAUCUGGAAUCUCAACUCUCAGCCCCUCUGCUCUCCAGGAAACAGCUGCAGGUGGGAAAAUUCCUGGCUCUUCCACCUCUCCUUCCUUCCCAGUGGAUUUAGGGAUGCACCCAGGCCUUUCCCCAGACCAUGGAGCCUGGAGAAAUCCAGCACCAGCCGAGUUCCUGCUCAGCACCAGCGGGGAGCCAAAAUCCCCCAGUGUGUGCCACGGGGUUAAAUGUGUGGGAAGGGAGAUGGAAAUAUCCUGGAAUGAGAAACUGAUGGCCUGGGGCUCCCACUCCACUUCCAAAUCCAGUUUAAUCCACCCAUCCCAGUUCUCCCACAGCAACUCCCCAGUUCCAGCCAACACCUGGAGUGACUCCAGUGGAGCAGAAGGAGGAAGAUGGAUGUUCCAGGCCCUCUCCUG
rnacentral:lncRNA from 1 species